UACAAGCCUAAUAAGUAUUUAAAUAAAAAUUCACAAAAGUAAUUUGGGCAUAAUCCAUCUUCAGUUGGCAUGAAAUGUCUACCCUAAUCUAAGGUGGUAGCACACUGCAUUUUCCUUAAGCAUGGACUAUCUUAUAUUUACUUAGUGAUCAUGAAGAAUAGUUGUACGAACAUCAUACUUAAAAUCACAGAAAUUAAAUAUGAUUCAAAAAAAAGAAAUUCAUUAAAAAUAAUAAGUUCAUACAACCCCAAGAAUAUAAAAUAAAAUAUAAAACCCGUGUUCCUUUGUUAGGGCUGCAUCCAGCCCUGGAGAAGAGCUCAGGCUUCCAUGC
rnacentral:lncRNA from 1 species